GUCCUCCGCUGCAAUAGCCCCUGGGAAGUGUAGUCCGGAACGGAGGCGGCGUUCAGAAAUAGGGCGCUGGCUUUGCCAGGAGCGGCUCCUCUCCAAGCCUGGCGGUCACUGCCCUGUGUCCCCUUUUGGGCCUCUCCUGGUCCUCCUGGUUGGAUUAGGAGGCCUCUCAGCCCGGAGUCUGGGUCGCCGAAGUACAGGCCCCUUCACUGAAGCGACCCACGGCGCAGGGGUUUCUGGAAGCCAUCGCCAGGCUCCGAGUGUUCAGAUGCAGCUGCCAGGCUCAGGACGCAGAGAACUGGCUUCCAGCUCGCAGGAGCGCCUGUCCGUGGAAGAGAUACCACGGUGUGCAGGCACAGGGAAAAGACCACGUGAGGACACAGAGAGAAGACGGCCGUCUGCAAGCCAAGGAGAGAGGCCUCAGGUGAAACCAAACCUGCAGGCACCUUGAUCUUGGACUUCCAGCCUCCAGAAGCUUGAGAAAAGAAAUUUCUGUUGUUUAAGACACCCAUUCUGUGGUAUUUGUUCUGGCAGCCCUAACAAACUAAUAUAGGGAUCUAAAGAUUCCUUGUCUUCAUUUUGAGUAAGAGACUAUAAACUCAGAACUGUGGAGAUCUAGUUAGGUAUUGUACAGCUAGCCUCAUUCUGUCUUAAACUCCAGGUAAAAGAGAAAAAUAUGGAGACAGCCCCUGACUUUGGAGAACUUGCAGUUUUGUGGAGGUGAAAGGAGGCAGCCACAAGAAAAACCCCUGACAUCAAUUCAAAACUAUAAAUAACAAAGACUAACUUGUUCUAUGCACAACAGGUACUACAGCACUGUCCAACAUGGGGACAUGUGAGUGGCCUGAAGCAGCACAAGAACUGGGCAAUAAACUUGAGAUGAACCUCAAAGCAUCAAUAUUAUUCAUGACUAAACUGGGUUCUAAGAAUUUCUAUUUUUACUCUCAGUGUUCAGUAGAGGUCAUUAAAAAAAAAUCUAGCAAUUUUUUUUUCUAAAAUGAAUAUGUAAUAAGAAUGAAAAACAAAAAGCACUAUAAUGUUUUUAAUUAAUGAAAUGCCUUUACGAACCAAGGUGCCAUCUUGGAGAAGCUAGGCAUUAUGAGGAGCUAUCAGGAGCACAUUUGCUAACAGCUUGGCAUGAGCAGGAUUUUCUUGACCAACUGGCAAGAUGGGGCUGCUCAGCUCCUGCUGGCAGAUUUUUAUGGAGCAUAGUUUUACAAAUUCAGCCUACAACUCUGAUACGUUCCAAUGUAUUUUAAACAUCUAUUCAGUUGCAACUCUAAUCCCAGGAACCUGUGGCUAACAGAAGGCAGAUUUAACUGACUAGCAGCUGUGGGAUUUUCAAAGUCUAAACUGAAAUGAACAUGCGAAACAGUUGGACUACCCCAAAAGCUGAAUUACAAUUCCAGCACUCACCAGCUCUGAAACCUCACUUGGUUACCUAACGCCUCUGUGCCUCAGUUCCCCAGCUAUAAAAUGGAAAAGGCAACAAUACCAACCUUGUAGAUUAUGUUUUGGAUUAAAUGAGGCAACACAUACACAGCACUUAGAACGUGCAAGGCACAAUGGAAGCAUGCAGUGAACAUGACUUGUAAUGAUGCUGACUGUCAUAACUCUCAUCCAUAGGGAUGCUGCCUCUGCUUGUCACCCUUGACCUAUAUAUUUUCAGGCAGUCCUCACCCAGUCCCCAUUUGUGUGUUCUAGAUAGAAAAGGCCCCAUACUAUGAAAUGACUACUGUCCUUCUGCAUGAAGCCUGGUGAACCUGAUAAUGUAGCCUUCAAGUUCCCUUACUGAGCCUUGAGCUCCCUUCAAAGUAUCCAAGCCAACCCUGUCUUGGGAAACUCACCUAGAUAAUGCCCUGAACCCCAAUAAAGGCUCCAGCCCACAGGUCCCUCCCUCUCUCUUGGUCCCCACCCUUUGGCUGGGCAUGUGUGUCCUCAAUGUCUCCAAGCCCUUCCAGUAAGCCCUGCAAGGUGUGCUGGCCACUGUUCUCUGGAAUCUGUGAGUAAUAAACAAUCUUUUUGCCAUUCUGCUCUAAGUGUCCCUCACCAUGCUGCAUCUGACUACACAAAACCUAAUUUAAAUACCUCACUUAACAAACCACAACACCAACCAAGAGCUGAACCUUUUAAAGAUUCACAUUAUUCUACUAGAAACAAAAGUCCCUUUGAGGUUUGAUAUCUGCUGAAUAAUAUACAAUCACUUGUUCUUUAACCUGCUACCAAACUUUAAGGACAUUUGUAACUGAAUUGUGUAAAAAUAGGUCAAAAGGGUUUUGUAAGUGAUAUCCCAAUUUGAGUGAAUAUCAACUGCAGAGGGAGUUGAAUCAGUCAACUGCAGAGCUACACUCUUGAU
rnacentral:lncRNA from 10 species